UACAUGGAUAACUCUGUCAACCCAGAGCUAAUACAUGCAGCGGGGCGCAUCUAUUAUACCAAAACCAACUUUGGUGACUCUGAGUAGACGCAGUCUUAGCACUGGCCAUAUUCCCUUCGAGUGUCUGCCUUAUCAACUUUCGAUGGUAGUUUAUGUGCCUACCAUGGUUAUAACGGGUAACGGAGAAUAAGGGUUCGACUCCGGAGAGGGAGCCUGAGAAACGGCUACCACAUCCAAGGAAGGCAGCAGGCGCGCAAAUUACCCACUCUCAGAGAGGAGGUAGUGACGAAAAAUAACGAGGCGAUUCUCUCUGUCAUCGGAAUGGGUACAAUCUAAACCCUUUAACGAGGAUCUAUUGGAGGGCAAGUCUGGUGCCAGCAGCCGCGGUAAUUCCAGCUCCAUUGGUGUAUACCAAUGCUGUUGUGGUUAAAACGCUCGUAGUUGGAUUGUAUGGGCGCCAGUGACCCCCUGGGUUCGCAGCCGGUUUUCCGUACAUGUGCUUCACUGCGUGUGUGCGGUGACUGGCAGGUUUACUUUGAAAAAAUUAGAGCGCUUAAAACAGGCGAUUCCCUGAAUACUGUUGCAUGGAAUAAUGGAAUAGGAGGUUCUAUUUUGUUGGUUUCCGAACCACUGUAAUGAUUAAGAGGGACAGACGGGGGCAUUCGUAUUGCGGCGUUAGAGGUGAAAUUCUUGGA
rnacentral:rRNA from 1 species